AGAGGAUCCCGAGCCACCCCGGUACGAGCCUGCUCCUCUAUAGUACCAUCCGGUGCCACCGCCGCAGUAUAAUCUGGUGCCCCAGCCACAGUACUGCCUGGCACCGCCACUGUAUAAUCCAGUGCCCCCACCAUAUCAGCAAAUACCACCACAGGGCCCCCCAGUCUAUCCUCAACUUGGCCCAGUCCCUCUUCUGCGGGAUCCAGCUCCUUCCAUGAUUGACCCAGGCUACGUAGAGAGGUACAAGAGACUGAACCCAUCU
rnacentral:lncRNA from 1 species